CAUCUACCUGAUGAAGGCCUACCUCUCC
rnacentral:piRNA from 1 species